UUGAGUUCAGCCAGGUAAUCCUAUACCUGCAAAUUAGCCCCCCCCCCCCAAGCUGAAAAUUCUGCAUUCUGAAAUUGAAGCUAAAUAUAGAAGUAUAAUCAUCGUAGGGUUCUAGGAUGCAAAGCUAAGAACACUGAGACGGCAAGUUGCUUGGCUGGAUUCCUUCCCUAGUAUAUUUUAUUCCAAGGGUGCCAUUACGGUACACUAUGUACAAAUUAUCAUACAACUAUCAAUAUAUUAAAUACAUAAUUAACAUUAAUCCAAAAAUGUAAAGCUAUCACAUUUACCUGAAAUAUUUAAACUAAGUAAUAUAAAUCCAAAACAUAAAUCCCAAAUCUGCUGAAAUACACUCCUUAACAGCCAUUUCUUUUUAAAGUCUGGUGUCUUUAGUGCUGCCAGUCUGAUUAAGAGAACAGUUGCAAAUUUAGUGCCCUGUCUAUAAAGAUAUGGAAAGAGGUUCAUCAUGCCUAGUUAUUUGAAAGAGCAGACCUAGCUUAUCUAAUCACUAUCGUUCUGGGUUUCGGUAUUCACUCCUUUAUAAACAACAAUGUUUAGAAAAUUCUUCCAGAGAUGAAAUGAGAGAAAAACAAGAUGGCAGAAUGAAAAGUCAAUAAGACCCACUCAAAAUUCCUCCCUGGGCAAGGACAAAACUUCAGAUUGCCCAACAAUGCUCCUUGCAAGGAGACUGCAAUACAGGUGUGGGAGAUGAGGGAAUAACCACCUUGUUAAACUGGAGUCUUUGGAAGGAUACAGCAUCCCCAUGCUUCCUUUUCUAAUUACUUUCAGAAAUCAGUUGCUAACUGCAUUUCAGCUAUUAUGGUAGGAACAUUUGGAUCAAUAGUACCGUAAAUUCUUAGUGAAAGAAGUUUUAAAUGCAAGUGCAAGAACCUAAAAAAAAAUUCUAGAAUAAAUAGGAAAAGGAUGAGUAAAACUUUGAUUUUA